UAGGGAAUCUUUCGCAAUGGACGCAAGUCUGACGGAGCAACGCCGCGUGAGUGAAGAAGGAUUUCGGUUCGUAAAACUCUGUUGUUAGAGAAGAACAGCGCAUAGAGUAACUGUUAUGCGUGUGACGGUAUCUAACCAGAAAGCCACGGCUAACUACGUGCCAGCAGCCGCGGUAAUACGUAGGUGGCAAGCGUUGUCCGGAUUUAUUGGGCGUAAAGCGAGCGCAGGCGGUCAAUUAAGUCUGAUGUGAAAGCCCCCGGCUCAACCGGGGAGGGUCAUUGGAAACUGGUUGACUUGAGUGCAGAAGAGGAGAGUGGAAUUCCAUGUGUAGCGGUGAAAUGCGUAGAUAUAUGGAGGAACACCAGUGGCGAAGGCGGCUCUCUGGUCUGUAACUGACGCUGAGGCUCGAAAGCGUGGGGAGCGAACAGG
rnacentral:rRNA from 1 species